UUGCUGUCAGACCGUCUGUUCGUGCUUCUACCAACUUGGUUCAAGCACAGGACACAGAGACGCCAAAUUUCCUUGGAGUUGUAAAGGGAUGACAUCUGACGUGUGCUUUAGGAGCAUCUUCUGCGUGCAGUUUGGCAUGGGAAUGGUCUGCUAACCACAUAAAUCAGGAAUUGAGUAUAGCAAUUGAGUUUUAGAGCAGCAGUUGAAAAAAUUCUUGGACAUGUGAAGAAGAUUGCAUAUAUUUGGAAGGUUGGAUCAAUGAAUGGCAUGUCAAAGUAGUGUCCAGCAAAAUCAUGCCACUAUUCAAGCUGCUAGUGCAACAGCUGUGACAUUUGUUUGCCAGUUUACGAUGCUGUAUAAUUCAAUUCUAACCAGUUAUAGUCAUUACCGGUUGGAUAUAAUAAUAUAAAUACACACACACACACACACACACACACACACACACACACACACACACACACACACACACACACACACACACACACACACACACACACCACAUGUAUAAUAAGCUAGUGUAUACUGAGCACUGAUAACAAUCUGUGGCAUAUCAGUACUGAGUAGCAAGUCAAAUAACAACCAGUUUGUAGUUGUGUGUGUACAAUGUUGC